rnacentral:rRNA from 1 species
AAUAGAUACCCCGGUAGUCCACGCCGUAAACGAUGAGUGCUAAGUGUUAGAGGGUUUCCGCCCUUUAGUGCUGCAGCUAACGCAUUAAGCACUCCGCCUGGGGAGUACGGCCGCAAGGCUGAAACUCAAAGGAAUUGACGGGGGCCCGCACAAGCGGUGGAGCAUGUGGUUUAAUUCGAAGCAACGCGAAGAACCUUACCAGGUCUUGACAUCCUCUGCCAACCCUAGAGAUAGGGCGUUCCCCUUCGGGGGACAGAGUGACAGGUGGUGCAUGGUUGUCGUCAGCUCGUGUCGUGAGAUGUUGGGUUAAGUCCCACAACGAGCGCAACCCUUGAUCUUAGUUGCCAGCAUUCAGUUGGGCACUCUAAGGUGACUGCCGGUGACAAACCGGAGGAAGGUGGGGAUGACGUCAAAUCAUCAUGCCCCUUAUGACCUGGGCUACACACGUGCUACAAUGGAUGGUACAAAGAGCUGCGAACCCGCGAGGGUAAGCCAAUCUCAUAAAGCCAUUCUCAGUUCGGAUUGUAGG